UCUCGAUAACGUAAAAGUUACAAAUUUGUAUGGAGCUGGAACGUUUGCCUGCGGUUGCCGCUAGGGGCGCUGUUCCAACUCCAUACAGAUGUGAGUUAACUUUUACGCUAUCGA
rnacentral:pre_miRNA from 9 species